UCAUCUCCACGCUUUAUCUUUGACUUUGCUUUCUUUCCCCUACAUCUCAGCUGCACCAUUUCUCCAUUCCACCCACCAAAAGCAACAGAUCUAGCGCUCGCAAUUCAUUCGGGUGAAAGAAUUGCAUCAAUUGGAAGAGUCGUUUUCAGCUCCCAAUCACGCCUCGUGUAUUAAAAAUGUGAAAGUAAUUGGAGGAAUCUAUUCUCUUGUCCACUUAGGGAUAUGGAUGUGGAUGUCAGACACUCGACACCCAAGUCCAUUGUAUAAUUUUAAUAUAAUUUAUACAAUCAUCAGUUAAUCGAUUAUCCAGUCGCUUUAAGAACACGUCCAAUCAUAAGCAGCGUCUAGCUCCAGGGGUUGCUCCACUUUUUUCUUAUAUUUGAAAGAGUUGAACAAGGUGAAAAAGGAAGUCUUUCUUUGUAUUUCAGUUUUCUUGUGCUCUGUGUUCUUUGGCGUGGGAAGGGACUUUGGGUUCUGGUUGAUUCCCAAUGAUGGUGGAGCUGUUUGUGUUGGGGUGUACGGGAGUUGUGGUCUUCCUUCACGGAGCCAAUUUCUUCUUCCAUAUCCUCUCCCAACACUUCGCCGUUCGUUCUCUCAGUUUCUUGGGAUUCGUUGGGUGGUGAACGGAACAGAAAAACAGAGAUGAUUAGUUUUCUUCACGCAAGCUGUGUAAUGUGGAUCAUGGCAAUUAAUGGGAGCUCUGCACAUGCCGUGACGCUUUGUAAAUACUUACUUAUAAGGUAGAAGUAGAUUUUAAGCAUAAAGUAAUGAUAAUUUUAUAUUCCUAAAGCAAAGAUGCAAGGCUUUACCCAAAUUUAGAGCGGAAAUCAUCUUGUGUUACUCUCUCUACCAAAAUUCGGCAUCAAUGGUAUCCUUCAAGUUUCAUUGCUGAGCUUAUAUUGUUCAAUAUAAUUGAGAUUUCUAUGUUCUUCUA